AUAUCAAAAGGAGGUACCAUUGUAACACCAUGCAGUUUUGGCAGUCUUCCCAUAGUGCUUGCUAUUUAUAUCUUUACAGAUAGAUUGAUUAUGCACUACGAUGCUUGACUUCUCAGGCGGGAACCUUCCGAUGCAAUGUGGUGAUUACCAGGGUUUCACAUUUGAAAAAAUGGUGGGCUACCUUCUGUGCAGACUGCCAUCACAUGUCCAUGCCAGCUACAACAUCGCUUACCCAGCCAGAUGUUUAUAUGUGCUCUCGUUGAUCUUGUUCAUGCACUAGCGCUACAAUUGGAUGAGAACAAUUCAAUGUUAUAUCAAUCAAUGGUCAUUUGCUCUCCCUGCUCAUUUCAUCUAUGUUAAUGUUCAGGUACACAUUGUUUGUCCUUGCGAAAGAUCGAAGUGGAGAGGCUGAAUUUGAAUUGUUUGGCACAAAGGCUCAACAAAUCAUCGAUCGAUCUGCUAGCCAGGUCCUUCGCAACAGCACUCACAUGGCCCUGCUAUUCCCAAUGUUCAUGUAGUGGCCUCAAUGCUAAGGAAAACCCCGCCUGAACUCAGUGGUCUCCUUUCCAUGAGAUGUAAGUUUGUUGUUCGUGCAUCGCCUGAAAGUUUCUUCGGAAGGUGGCCGAUGUUCCAUGUCGAUGCUAUUGAGUCCUUUGAGCCCGUCAAAUCGAACCUCUCUAUGAUAGAUUUGCUUACGCCAUCAUGAAGUGAUGCACGCAAGGAACUUCUUAUGAGAUCAGUGUGGAUGUUCCCUAGAGUUGAUUUUCGGUCUCCUGAGUGAUCUCUAGAUCUUUUGAUAAUGAACCUUUUUAUUAGUAGGAUUGUAAAUAUAUCGGUUCUGUAAACAGUAUUGUAUUAACUAUGACACUAUGGUCUUUUACCUUGGGACUAGGCUGCUGUUGAAAACAUGGUUAAAUAUAAUGUUCAUGUGCGUUUCCUUUCACUUAAAGAUCAGUCUAUUCACUUGACUGUAUG
rnacentral:lncRNA from 1 species